rnacentral:rRNA from 1 species
GACGAACGCUGGCGGCGUGCUUAACACAUGCAAGUCGAGCGGUAAGGCCCUUUCGGGGGUACACGAGCGGCGAACGGGUGAGUAACACGUGGGUGACCUGCCCUCAGCUCUGGGAUAAGCCCGGGAAACUGGGUCUAAUACUGGAUAUGACUCCAUGACGCAUGUUGUGGGGUGGAAAGCCUUGUGCGGCUGAGGAUGGGCCCGCGGCCUAUCAGCUUGUUGGGGGGUGAUGGCCUACCAAGGCGACGACGGGUAGCCGGCCUGAGAGGGCGACCGGCCACACUGGGACUGAGACACGGCCCAGACUCCUACGGGAGGCAGCAGUGGGGAAUCUUGCGCAAUGGGCGAAAGCCUGACGCAGCGACGCCGCGUGAGGGAUGACGGCCUGGU